rnacentral:rRNA from 1 species
UACGAAGGGUGCAAGCGUUACUCGGAAUUACUGGGCGUAAAGCGUGCGUAGGUGGUGAGUUAAGUCUGUCGUGAAAGCCCCGGGCUCAACCUGGGAAUGGCGAUGGAUACUGGCUCGCUAGAGUGCGGUAGGGGGAGAGUGGAAUUCCCGGUGUAGCAGUGAAAUGCGUAGAGAUCGGGAGGAACAUCAGUUGCGAAGGCGGCUCUCUGGACCAGCACUGACACUGGAGGCACGAAAGCGUGGGGAGCAAACAGG